AACCUGGUUGAUCCUGCCAGUAGUCAUAUGCUUGUCUCAAAGACUAAGCCAUGCACGUCUAAGUACAAACUAAAUGAUGGUGAAACUGCAAAUGGCUCAUUACAACGGUUAUGAUGUACCCGGGAGUUCCGAUGGAUAUUUCCAGUAACACUAGAACUAAUACAUGUCCCUGCGUUUAUUAGUUUCGCACAGUCCGUCGCUGAGUCAUGGUAAACAGUUGAUCGACUCGACGUCCCGGAACAGUUUCCGCCCCAUCAGCUUCGAUGGUUGGGUAUUGGCCUACCAUUGCAACAACGGGUAACGAGGAAUUAGGGUUUGAUUUCGGAGAGGGAGCCUGAGAAACGGCUACCACAUCUACGGAUGGCAGCAGGCGCGCAAAUUACCCAAUGCAGACACUGUGAGGUAGUGACGAGAAAUAAUAAAGCGGGACUUCUGUUUCGCUAUUAUAAUGAGGAAUAACCAAAGGUCAUUCCGAUUAGCAACUGAUGGGAAAGUCUGGUGCCAGCAGCCGCGGUAAUACCAGCGUCAGUAGCAUAUAUUAAAAUUGUUGCAGUUAAAACGUCCGUAGUCUGUACGUCGUCCCAAACUCACUGCAGUCUUCCGUUUUCUUAAUUGAAUGCGGUAGUUUCUGCAGUCACUCCCUUGAUCAAAUUAGGUUGUUCAAGGUAGACCAAGUCUUCAUAUUUUCACAUGGAAUUGGGUGAGGGAACUUAAGAGUUUAAGUUUCUCGUCUUAGGAUCAUCCGGGGUCAUUCGUACUCGUCCGCGAGAGGUGAAAUUCUUGGACCGGACGAAGACGACCAGCAGCGAAAGCAUCUGUCAGGGAUGUUUUCUGCGACAAAGGACGAAGGUCAGGGUAUCGAAGACGAUUAGAUACCGUCGUAGUCCUGACUGUAAACUAUGCCAACUUGGGUCUUGCUGGGCGAUGCUUUGUGAGACCCACACAGAAAUGAAAGUGUAUGGGUUCUGGGGGUAGUAUGGACACAAGUCUGAAACUUGAAGGAAUUGACGGAAGAGCACCAUAAGACGUGGAGCUUGCGGCUUAAUUUGACUCAACGCGGGAAAACUUACCAGGUCAAGACAUGGGCGUGAUUGACAGGCUAAUGACUUUUCUCGAUUCCAUGGAUGGUGGUGCAUGGUCGCACUUAGUUGGUGCAGUGAUUUGUCAGGUUUAUUCCGGUAACGAACGAGACCUCAACCUA
rnacentral:rRNA from 1 species